rnacentral:rRNA from 1 species
AGCAGUCGCCACGGUAAUACGGAGGGUGCAAGCGUUAAUCGGAAUUACUGGGCGUAAAGCGCACGCAGGCGGUCUGACAAGUCAGAUGUGAAAUCCCCGGGCUUAACCUGGGAACUGCAUUUGAAACUGUCAGGCUGGAGUCUUGUAGAGGGGGGUGGAAUUCCAGGUGUAGCGGUGAAAUGCGUAGAGAUCUGGAGGAAUACCGGUGGCGAAGGCGGCCCCCUGGACAAAGACUGACGCUCAGGUGCGAAAGCGUGGGGAGCAAACAGGAUUAGAUACCCCUGUAGUCCCUGUCUCUUAUAC